rnacentral:rRNA from 1 species
GACGAACCGUGCGAACGUUGUUCGGAUUCACUGGGCUUAAAGGGCGCGUAGGCGGGUGAUCAAGUCCGGGGUGAAAUCCUCCAGCUCAACUGGAGAAUAGCCUUGGAUACUGGUCGUCUUGAGGGAGGUAGGGGCAUGUGGAACUUCCGGUGGAGCGGUGAAAUGCGUAGAUAUCGGAAGGAACGCCGGUGGCGAAAGCGACGUGCUGGACCUCUUCUGACGCUGAGGCGCGAAAGCCAGGGGAGCAAACGGG